UUCCCGCAGCCGCUCCGGGGCUAGAAAACAAGUGUAGACGCAGAGAUUCGCGCCCCACCAGCGGUCCCUAGUUUACCGUAGAAAACACGAUUUCCUUUCGAUACGAAAGCGUAUGUAGAGCGUAGUGCGGAGAGCCGGCGGUCCGCAGUAACUGGCUGGGGGAGGCGGUUUUGCGGCUGCCCGGGGCGCUGAGCGCUGGGGCAGUUUCUCCUGACCUCUCCCUGCGUCGGGCCAGCCAAGGGGAAAGCCUCGAAUGGGAGAGAGGGGUGAAGGCAGAGGAUGGGUGAGGAAGGAAAGGGCUGAGAAAUGGCAAGAGCCCAUCCUGCCUCGGAAACUACAUAAUGGCAGGCAAGGACCGCCAGCAAGACUGGAACCAGUACAAGUUGCACAGUUGUUUGUGCAUUUGACUCAGCUACAGCAGUAGUUGCACCGGGAGGGGCAAAAUGUCACCCAAGAGGUAGAGAAGAAAAAUAGCAAUUGGAGUCUCAUAGAACUUCUUAGAUCCUACUGUUGAAGUCUGUGGCUCCUCUCUGGUGCAAUGGAUCCUGGGAAGAUGUGGCACAGAAGCAGACUUCAUGCCCAAUGCAGAGCCCAAUACGGGGCUUGAAUGCAUGACCCUGAAAUCGAGACCUGAGAUGAGGUCAAGAGUCUGACAUUUAACUGACUGAGACAUCCGGGUGCCCCUGAAUUUUCAACUAAAGAUAUUUUCAAUUUAUGAUGGGCUUAUCAGUGAGUAGAGGAAGAUAUGUAAAUUGUGAGUAGAGGAAGAUAUGUAAAUAUCUAAUUAUGCAUUGAACUCAUAGUAUGCUGAUAACAGGAUAUGAAAAAGUCAUAUUUCCUGAUCUUAAGGUAUAUAUCUUUUGUUUUUGUUUUCAUUCCAAUAAGCAGAGAACGACC